rnacentral:rRNA from 1 species
GACGAACGAGGGAGGGGGGAGGAACACAUGCAAGUCGAACGGUGAAGCGCCUUCCUUUUUGGUGGGUGUGGAUGAGUGGCGAACGGGUGAGUAACACGUGAGUAACCUGCCCCCUUCUUCUGGAUAACCGCAUGAAAGUGUGGCUAAUACGGGAUAUUCUGGGUCUGUCGCAUGAUGGGUCUGGGAAAGAUAUUGUUUCGGUGGGGGAUGGGCUCGCGGCCUAUCAGCUUGUUGGUGGGGUGAUGGCCUACCAAGGCGGUGACGGGUAGCCGGCCUGAGAGGGUGGACGGUCACACUGGGACUGAGACACGGCCCAGACUCCUACGGGAGGCAGCAGUGGGGAAUAUUGCACAAUGGGCGCAAGCCUGAUGCAGCGACGCCGCGUGAGGGAUGGAGGCCUUCGGGUUGUGAACCUCUUUCGCCAGUGAAGCAGGCCUGCCUCGUUUGUGGGUGGGUUGACGGUAGCUGGAUAAGAAGCGCCGGCUAACUACGUC